GCCUUCGUGGUGUAGUGGUCAGCACACUCGGCGCGUAUUCGAGAGGUCCGUGGUUCGAGUCCCGGCGGAGGCA
rnacentral:tRNA from 1 species